UCCUGUCUGCUGAGUACUAGACACGAGUGCCUACUGUGUGCCAGGCGCUGGCCUGAGAGCCGCGGGCUGCGCAGGGCCAGCUGGUGACCUUCAGGCCGCUGCGAUGCCCCGGGGACAGGCCCCCAGUCUGCCUGCAAUCCUGCGCCCCAGGUGUGUCGGGGAGAGGUCCGGGUGGCCCUGGCCCCAUGGCCUCCCCGCUCUCCUGCCUGAGUCCCCGACCUGCCCGGCAGCCACUCCCUUCCGCUGGUUUCCAGGGCUGCAGGACGCCCCAGGCCUGGCGCGCGGCAGUCCACUCCCAAGAUGCACCGGGGCAAGGCACGCAGAGCCGAGAGUCACCCUCGGGCCACCGCCUCCCAGCAUCAGCCACCGUCCCCUGGACGGCUGAGCCGGCCCCAGGCCCCGGCUCUCAGGGACUGGAGACCAAGGGCUGCAAGAGACAGAGGCACAUCCUGCAGGGACAGGCGGAGCAGGUGCUGGUGAUCAGGUGCUCGGGACCCUCAGAGCGCCCACCUGGUGACUCCCUGGAAGCAGACUGAGAAAUGAACAGCUUGGGUGGACAGUGACGCCCGGCUUGCCCACUGCACGGAGCCUGGGACCGUCUGGCCCCCUGGACCGUGUGGACUGCCCGCCCCACUCGUGGGCAUUUCUCCACGAGAAGCUGAGCCGUCAUCCACGAGGGACCCCAGCAGACGCUCACGAUCCGGCCCACGAAGGACGCUCUUCUGCGAAAGCAGCGCCCUCGCAAAGACAGCAGCGCCAUGCCGCCGCCGGAGCAGGACAGGAAGGAUCCAAGUCAGGAUUCAGUUGUUCGAGCAGAGGCAAGGUCUGCAGGGCCGAAUCAGGGGAGGGGGCACCCUUGUGGCACCUGCAGAGGAGGCGAGCGAGUUCUCUCCUCACCCUCCUUUCUCAAAUUUGGGUUAUGGUAAAUGACCUGGGCUUAUACAUAUGCAAAUAUAUGCACUCACUUAUAUUAAAACAAUGAAGAAUAAGCCAAAAACUUGCAUUAAAGGUAGAAUAUGAUAGGUAAUGUCUUUGCCUUGCUUUUUGUCACAGAGCAUUUUGGAAGCCUUUCCCAUGAGUCCUCCUAACUGAUCCUUUUCACAGCUGUAUAAUACUCCCCUGUACAGUUGUACCUCGUCAAUUCAGUCCCCUUUACUUGUAUAUUUGGGA